ACUCCUGCGGGAGGCAGCAGUGGGGAAUCUUGCGCAAUGGGCGAAAGCCUGACGCAGCCAUGCCGCGUGAAUGAUGAAGGUCUUAGGAUUGUAAAAUUCUUUCACCGGGGACGAUAAUGACGGUACCCGGAGAAGAAGCCCCGGCUAACUUCGUGCCAGCAGCCGCGGUAAUACGAAGGGGGCUAGCGUUGCUCGGAAUUACUGGGCGUAAAGGGAGCGUAGGCGGACAUUUAAGUCAGGGGUGAAAUCCCGGGGCUCAACCUCGGAAUUGCCUUUGAUACUGGGUGUCUUGAGUAUGAGAGAGGGGUGUUGAACUCCGAGUGUAGAGGUGAAAUUCGUAGAUAUUCGGAAGAACACCAGUGGCGAAGGCGACACACUGGCUCAUUACUGACGCUGAGGCUCGAAAGCGUGGGGAGCAAACAGGAUUAGAAACCCUGGUAGUCCCAUG
rnacentral:rRNA from 1 species